UACAGAGGUCUCAAGCGUUGUUCGGAUUCAUUGGGCGUAAAGGGUGCGUAGGCGGCGCGGUAAGUCGGGGUGUGAAAUCUCGGGGCUUAACUCCGAAACUGCAUUCGAUACUACCGUGCUUGAGGACUGGAGAGGAGACUGGAAAUUUACGGUGUAGCGGUGAAAUGCGUAGAUAUCGUAAGGAAGACCAGUGGCGAAGGCGGGUCUCUGGACAGUUCCUGACGCUGAGGCAACGAAGGCCCAGGGGAGCAAACGGG
rnacentral:rRNA from 1 species